CACCGCGGUUAUACGAGAGACCCAAGUUGACAGAUAUCGGCAUAAAGAGUGGUUAGGAGAGUAUUAAACUAAAGCCGAACACCCGCAAAACUGUUAUACGCCCUCGAGAGUAGGAAGCCCACUUACGAAAGUGGCUUUAUUCACCCGAACCCACGAAAGCCAUGAGAA
rnacentral:rRNA from 1 species